rnacentral:rRNA from 1 species
GACGAACGCUGGCGGCGUGCUUAACACAUGCAAGUCGAACGGUAAGGCCCUUCGGGGUACACGAGUGGCGAACGGGUGAGUAACACGUGGGUGAUCUGCCCUGCACUUCGGGAUAAGCCUGGGAAACUGGGUCUAAUACCGGAUAGGACCACUGCCUGCAUGGGUGGUGGUGGAAAGCUUUUGCGGUGUGGGAUGGGCCCGCGGCCUAUCAGCUUGUUGGUGGGGUGAUGGCCUACCAAGGCGACGACGGGUAGCCGGCCUGAGAGGGUGACCGGCCACACUGGGACUGAGAUACGGCCCAGACUCCUACGGGAGGCAGCAGUGGGGAAUAUUGCACAAUGGGCGCAAGCCUGAUGCAGCGACGCCGCGUGAGGGAUGACGACCUUCGGGUUGUAAACCUCUUUCAGCACCGACGAAGCGCAAGUGACGGUAGGUGCAGAAGAAGGACCGGCCUACUACGUGCCAGCCGCCGCGGUAA